rnacentral:rRNA from 1 species
UACGUAGGGGGCAAGCGUUGUCCGGAAUCAUUGGGCGUAAAGCGCGUGUAGGCGGUCCGGUAAGUCCGCUGUGAAAGUCGGGGGCUCAACCCUCGGAUGCCGGUGGAUACUGUCGGGCUUGAGUACGGAAGAGGCGAGUGGAAUUCCUGGUGUAGCGGUGAAAUGCGCAGAUAUCAGGAGGAACACCAAAUGCGAAGGCAGCUCGCUGGGACGUUACUGACGCUGAGACGCGAAAGCGUGGGGAGCAAACAGG